CAACCUACAUAGGUUUCAAAGUAAUCCAAAGUCCAAAACUCUCUCAGCCACGUGCAUACUUUAAAGCGGUUAUUGCAUGAUUCAACAGUUGACUCGUAUGAAGGUAGGUGAAUCUUUCUUCUGCACGAAAGAUACAAUCCUUGCACUUUAGCUAAUGGGUUAGCCCCUAUUUAUGUAUAACUUAAAAUUCACUUAGCCUAA
rnacentral:lncRNA from 1 species